GAUGAACGCUAGCGGCAGGCCUAACACAUGCAAGUCGAGGGGUAGAACACUUCGGUGUUUGAGACCGGCGCACGGGUGCGUAACGCGUAUGCAAUCUACCUUGUACAGGGGAAUAGCCCAGAGAAAUUUGGAUUAAUGCCCCAUAGUAUAUAACCUUCGCAUGUUGGUUAUAUUAAAGUUCCAACGGUACAAGAUGAGCAUGCGUCCCAAUAGUUAGUUGGUAAGGUAACGGCUUACCAAGACGAUGAUGGGUAGGGGUCCUGAGAGGGAGAUCCCCCACACUGGUACUGAGACACGGACCAGACUCCUACGGGAGGCAGCAGUGAGGAAUAUUGGUCAAUGGGCGCAAGCCUGAACCAGCCAUGCCGCGUGCAGGAAGACGGUCCUAUGGAUUGUAAACUGCUUUUAUACAGGAAGAAACAACUCUACGUGUAGAGUCUUGACGGUACUGUAGGAAUAAGGAUCGGCUAACUCCGUGCCAGCAGCCGCAGUAAAAC
rnacentral:rRNA from 1 species